AAGGGGUCAAAUAUAAUUACUCUAUGGGAAAUUGGAAGAUUGAUUAUGGAAAACUCAAAUUCAAAAUUAUAAAAGUUUUAUUUAGUCUCCAUAUUUAAUCUCGUUACAUUUCUAGUGAAAGAUUGGCCUAAAAACCUACUGAAGUGUUUUUCCUUGUUUAGUGAAGCGCAAAGCCAUUCUUACCAAACCUAAUUUAGCAUCAAUGGACAUUAAGAAAAAGCAACGUCCAUCGAAACACAUUAUAAUAUUUCACAUCACUUAAGUAUAAGAGAAGUUUAAUACUAUAAAAAAUGUGACCCACACUUUAAUUGGUAAGAGACGUUUUAAGAUGUAUAGGUGUCUUGAAAACAAAUUCAAGAGAACUUACUCAAAGUGAAUAAUUCUUUAUUAGUUGGAGAAAAUUCGAUAAUUUCAUGCUAACCUGAGAAAGAGGAGUUUUAAUCUUUAGAGGAGAGCGCCAUAACAAUUUGUCCCCCAUGUUGUCUCCCCUUCCAAAAUAUAUGUGAAAAGUGAAUCUUCUUCGUAGGAGCAAUUUGGUAUUUUUUCUAUUUUACAUAUAACCCUAUCUUUUAAAAAUACUAACAAUAUACCCAACAAGUUAUGUUAUAUAUAAAUAGACUCUGAUGAGAUAGCAAAAGACGAAAAUAACCUAGAUAGAAAGAUAAUUAAGUCGGUAAUACUCAACUUCAACCUCAAUCUUGACUUAGUUUGCAUAAAUUGACUCCAAUUUACUUUACAUGGGGAGAGAGAAACACAGAGAGAAUCUCAUUUUGCUUUAGAAUUUAAAUGGAAGCAUAUCUGUCAAGGAAAUUUGGCUUUUCAAGUCGGUGCCCAUGAGCUAGCAGCAUUCAAUUUAGGUUUCGGCUUUAUGAUUGUAAUAGGCAUAGGCCACUUUCAAAAAUAAGCAAAUGAGAGACGCAUAAUUAAGCGCAGCAAACACAAUUGGAGAAGAAGAUAUACUGGAAUAUUCCUGAAUUUUUCUUUUUGUUUUGCUUGAAUAUUCCCAACCAGCUCUAUAAAAUCACCUUAAUUUUGUUAUGAACUAAUAUAUUUCAUAUUGUUUGAGAAAGAGUAUUAAAAGGGUUAGGGUUAGGGUUAGGAUUAUUCAACUGUCAAUAUAAAUUCAAUUAAUAAGUAGAGGUGGCUUUAAGUAUAGAUAAAUAAGGUGGUCGCCUAAGGUCCUAUAUUUUUUCAAGGUCUCAUUUCUUUUGAGUAUUUUCUUAAUAAUUCUCU
rnacentral:lncRNA from 1 species